rnacentral:rRNA from 1 species
CCUACGGGAGGCAGCAGUGGGGAAUAUUGCACAAUGGGCGAAAGCCUGAUGCAGCGACGCCGCGUGAGGGAUGACGGCCUUCGGGUUGUAAACCUCUUUCAGCAGGGAAGAAGCGAAAGUGACGGUACCUGCAGAAGAAGCGCCGGCUAACUACGUGCCAGCAGCCGCGGUAAUACGUAGGGCGCAAGCGUUGUCCGGAAUUAUUGGGCGUAAAGAGCUCGUAGGCGGCUUGUCACGUCGGUUGUGAAAGCCCGGGGCUUAACCCCGGGUCUGCAGUCGAUACGGGCAGGCUAGAGUGUGGUAGGGGAGAUCGGAAUUCCUGGUGUAGCGGUGAAAUGCGCAGAUAUCAGGAGGAACACCGGUGGCGAAGGCGGAUCUCUGGGCCAUUACUGACGCUGAGGAGCGAAAGCGUGGGGAGCGAACAGGAUUAGAUACCCUGGUAGUCCACGCCGUAAACGGUGGGAACUAGGUGUUGGCGACAUUCCACGUCGUCGGUGCCGCAGCUACGCAUACGUUCCCGUCCCGGGCGGUACGGCCGCGACGACGUAAACUUAAAGUAAGUUAGACGGCGNGAGACGUGCCGAACGGACGACGACGAGGGAGGUAGG